rnacentral:rRNA from 1 species
AUUGAACGCUGGCGGCAGGCCUAACACAUGCAAGUCGAGCGCGCGGCGGACGGGGGAGUAAUGUCUGGGAAACUGCCUGAUGGAGGGGGGUAACUACUGGAAACGGUAGCUAAUACCGCAUACCAUCAGAUGUGCCCAGAUGGGAUUAGCUAGUAGGUGGGGGAACGGCUCACCCAGGCGACGAUCCCUAGCUGGUCUGAGAGGAUGACCAGCCACACUGGAAGUGAGACACGGGCCAGACUCCUACGGGAGGCCGCAGUGGGGAAUAUUGCACAAUGGGCGCAAGCCUGAUGCAGCCAUGCCGCGUGUGUGAAGAAGGCCUUCGGGUUGUAAAGCACUUUCAGCGGGGAGGCGUUACCCGCAGAAGAAGCACCGGCUAACUCCGUGCCAGCCGCCGCGGUAAUUC